rnacentral:lncRNA from 1 species
CGAGGCUCAGGUCACUGUUUUGUGGGGUUCGUCCCACAUACUAGAGCUGACAAACGCCAUAUUCACGCCAAGGAAUUUUGAAAGCAAAUAUGUCACAUUAAUGAUGAUGACGAUGACGACGACGACGAAGAUGGUCAGAAAAUGAUUAGGAAAGAACACCCUGGCAGCCUUUGUUGCUAGAAUCUGCUCAUGGGCAAAUGGCAAAGCUAUUCACAUGGAAGACAUUAAACCAUCAAAAGUCAACAAUUACCCUGAUGAGCUGUGAUGGAGUUUGCUGUU